AAACAGAGCUACCACCAACAACAGUGUCCUUCAGAAGCAGCAACUGGAGCUGAUGGACACAGUCCACAACCUUGUCAAUCUUUGCACUAAAGAAGUUUUACUAAAGGGAGGAAAAAGAGAGGAAGAGAAACCAUUUAGAGACUGUGCAGAUGUAUAUCAAGCUGGUUUUAAUAAAAGUGGAAUCUACACUAUUUAUAUUAAUAAUAUGCCAGAACCCAAAAAGGUGUUUUGCAAUAUGGAUGUCAAUGGGGGAGGUUGGACUGUAAUACAACAUCGUGAAGAUGGAAGUCUAGAUUUCCAAAGAGGCUGGAAAGAAUAUAAAAUGGGUUUUGGAAAUCCCUCCGGUGAAUAUUGGCUGGGGAAUGAGUUUAUUUUUGCCAUUACCAGUCAGAGGCAGUACAUGCUAAGAAUUGAGUUAAUGGACUGGGAAGGGAACCGAGCCUAUUCACAGUAUGACAGAUUCCACAUAGGAAAUGAAAAGCAAAACUAUAGGUAAGUCAUGCUACAGUGUAGUGUUCGACUAACUUUGACCUAGCCACUUAAUAAUUGUAGUGGGAAAAUAUGAAAAAAAGAAAUGAAAAUCAUCCUUCAAAAUGAAAAUUGUUUUUUUUUUUUGUCUAGACCUAUUACAAAGAGGUACAAAAAAGCCUGUAAAGACUUUUUCAAAGAUUUAAAUUUCAGUUUUCGUAGGUUGACUAUCUUUGAUAUUGGCUUAAAUUUUAGGGAAUGGUGAAUGAAGUCAAGCAUACUGUUGUUCUGUGGUUAUCAUGCAGUUGCAGUGAAUUCAUAUAUAUAAAACUGAUAAGAGUUUCAUACUCAAACUCAUUGGCUUAAAUAAUCUCUUUAUUCUAAAAAAAGAUUUUCUGGUUCUACUUUUUUUGAUGAUCUUUCUUGAAUUAGCAUUUUUCAAAUGAUCUUGAAGAUGACAAAAGUAAAAUUUUUUUAUGUUUGAAUGAUUUACAUAAAAGAGAAGAUGAGGCAUGAUUUAGAGGGUUUUCUUGGUAAAUCUAAAAAGCAAAAAUAAAUUGUAAUAAUGGCAUCAAUAUACAUAAUACAUGAUUGCAGAUGUAAAAAUAGAUAAACUAUACACUUAAUGAUACAUGUUUCCAAUUAUCCUUUUUCAAUGAGAAGCUCGUCUACUAGGGAAAAAUAAACACACAAAAAUAUGGCUAAGGAAAUAA
rnacentral:sRNA from 1 species